UGCAAUAUUUACUUUUCAGCUUCUGGCAACAAAUGGCCACAAACCGAUCAAAGGUGAAAGUGACGGUGAACCAGACAGAGCAGUCAGUGGCUGCAUAAAGCAGGACGGCAUGGAUAUUACACACGGGGACGGAGUCCCUCAGGAAAUAAAACUGUUCCCGAUAAACAAUGGGAAUGUGUCUCAGGAUCAGGUCGAGGAUAAUGACCAGGAGAUCCGCCGCUGCCAUGGCCCCCAGGUAUCUGUGUUACCUGUUUGGAUACAGGAUUGGCUGGCCAGCAGAAGACAGCAAGUGGUAGCGGAAGGAAAAUAUUCUGCCUGGAAGUCUGUGAAUCCCAGCAGUGUGGAAACAAGCCCUUCGGCCCAACAAGUACAUACCAACUUUCCAAAGAGUAACCUUCCCAUGCCCUUACAGUUACCACUGACUAGUGCACCUAAAGUAGAAAUCGCGGAACACGAUGGACUAUUUGACCAAUCCACUUGAAUUAUACAGCUUUGGGCUGUGGCAGGAAACGGGAGCACCCAUCAGAAGCUCACGCAGACAAGGGGAGAAGAUCCAAACUCCACGCAGAUAGUCACCCGAGGCUGGAAUUGAACUCAUGUCCCUGAUGCUGUGAUGGAACAGUGCGAACUACUGAGCCACUGUGCUAACCUGGAACCUCCUGCCAGCCUAAUGCAAAGGGAAUUCAGCCAAAUCCAACUCUCCCAGGAUAAAAUCCCAUUGCUAGCAGCUGUGUGAGUAGAAUAUCUUCAGAAGCAGAAUCACAUUUUGGACAAUCUCUCAAUUUUUCCUUUUGUCAUGAGUUACACUAAUAUUUGGAUAAGGUUCUUUCAACGUGAAAUUGCACAGAUUUGUGUGUGUGUGUGUGUGUGUGUGUGUUUGUGUGUGUGUGUCAGUGUUUUUAGAAUGGGAAAUAUCGAGUCUUUAUUUGCAAUACGCAAACAGUUUGCCAUCCAUCUUUCCAUCAUAGUUGGAGUAACAUUGCUCUGGAUCGUAAACGUGUUGUUUUAGCAGAUUACAGAAACUAGCCUGACUUGUUCCUAAAACUGACCCUGACCCAGUCUGAGACCGAUAUCAUCGGCCAUAUCACCGACCUGGUUACAUUUAACAUUUGUUGUGAGCAGUGGGGGAGUGGGACUAGAAAAGGAAACAGUGACCCAAAAAGCCGGGGAACUAUAGACCGGUGAGCCUGAUGUCAGUGGUGGGUGAGUUGUUCGAAGGGAUUCUGUGGGAUAGCAUUUACAUACGUUUGGGAAGGCAAGGACUGAUCUCAUUAAUGUGUCAUUAAUUUGAUUGAGUUUUAUGAAGAGGUGACAAAGAAGAUUGAUGAAGGCAGUUUGGUAGAUAUUGUCUAUAUGGACCUCAGCAAGGUGUUCAUAACAUUCCGAUUGGUAGGCAGAUUAGUAAGGUUCGGUCACAUGGGAUACAGAAGAAGCUCAUCACAAUUGGCUUGAAGGAAGAGGGAUAUUUUUCAGACUGGAGGCUUCUGAGCAGAAAUUAUACACUUAAUGGUAAGGGCCUGGGGAGUGUUGUGAAACAAAUGGACAUAAGGCUGCAGGUACAUUGUUCCUUGAAAGUGAAGUUGAAUGCAGACAGUGCGGUACAGAACACAUUUAACACAUUUGCCUUAAUCAGUCAGAGCAUUGAGUAUAGGAGUUGUGGUGGAGGGAAAUGGGGUUAGCGUGGAUGGACAUUUACAAGGUGGAGUCGAACCCUUCUGUUAAUUAAAACCAAACACCCAGAAAAGGUCGCCUCACCUCGUAAUCUGUUAAAAUAUGAGCGACACAAUUCUCCUACAUUCCACUAUUUAAACAAAGAUUAACAAGUUUAUUUCUUAACUUUAUUAGUGAACACUAAACAACAGCUAUUCACAAAUACAAGCCCCUCUUUUCUUAGCUACUUACUAUCUGACUCGAACUCUGUAAAAAGUAUGUUGUUCCAACAACCCACAUAUUAAACAUUACAAUCUCAAGACCAUACAGUCUCUAUCUUCCCCGCUGUAUUCACUCUUUCAGCUGCUGAUCUCCUUGGUUCAUUUUUUUUAUUGCAAAGAGGUUUGCAUGAACAUGUGUCUUUGAUAGAGUGUGUUUGAGAUGGUCAGUUAGCACUCCUGCUCUACAGCAGUUGCUCUACUGUUGGAUGGCAGUAGCUCUCUCUAGUGUUCAAAAUGCUGGGUUUAUAUACUCCCCAUGAUAUAAUAAUUCUCAUAAUUUGAUUGCUUUCCAGGCGUCCAAACAAUAAUAUUCAAAUUCUGUUGGCUUCUGGUAUCCUGAGUGUUAUUUAAACUCUUUGGUUACAUUUGUAUGGCUGUCAAAACAGCAACCAAAACUCAGGAAUCCAUUUCUCAGCUAAUGGUGACAUGUGGAACAGUGUGACCUUCAGCUGGCAUCUGUGGCUUUAAUUUCUACUCAGUAAAACUCGAUCUGUUUUAAAGUGUCCAUAUAUGUUUUUGUCUUCAUAACAUCUCCCCGCUUCAGAAAAUAAAAUGAACUAGCUGAAUGAAAAGAUGUCAACAUUUGUUUUCCUCUAACUCUUAAUCCCAAUUUUAUGAAAUACCAAAGUGUUAAUCUCAGUUAUAUCAUUCAUAUUAAUUCUGCAAACCAAUACAACACUGGAAUAAGUCAAAUCUUAUCUACACUUUUUCCUUUAAAUCCGCGAAUACAUAUCUGCUAUCACAUUAUAGGAGACACAGCAUGAACACUUUGUAAGUUUAAAGUUGGUAAGGUAAGACUCCAAUGAAAUAGUCUCAUAUUCUGGUCUUUAAAUAUUCCAAAAAAUGCGAGAGAUUUGUCGUUGUCCACAACCAUCUCCGACAAUUUGUUUGUCAUAUACACAUUAAAAUAUCGUCAGGCCAGUGUGCAACAUAAUAAUUCUUGUUCAAUAAUGGAGAUUUUCUAUUUUUUUUCUCUGUUGGAUAUUGAGUUUUUUCGACAAGUAGCCAAUUAGCCAUUCAAUUCCAUCACCUUUUUCCAUAUCAACACAUCUCUGACCCCUAUAUCCCGAGCAUCAAACACAAUUUUCAAAGGGUUUCAGAAUAUUUGGUGCAGCUAAAACUGGUGUAGUGAUUAAACCUGCUUUAAAAUUCUCAAAUACCUCCUGGCAUUGUUCUGUCCACCACAAUUCUGUGUUCUUCUUCAGUAAAUCCAUCAGUGUUGCCAAGACGCUGCUGAAGUUUUGAACAAACUUCCGAUAGAAUCCACUCAGUUCCAAAAAUCAAAGCACCUCGUUCUUCGAGGAUGAUCGUGGAAAUUCCUCAAAGCCCUUCGUUUUUGUGCUCCAUGGGGUCAACCUUCCAUGUCGAAUAUAAUGUCCCAAGAACAUCACCUCCGCCUUCGCGAAUUCCAUUUUCUUUCUGUUUAUUACCAAGUUUGCUUCUUGUAAUCGUUCAACAUGCUCUGCCAACUGUAACAUGUGAGCUUUUAAUCACUUGCUGAAGAUCACUACAUCAUACAGAUAAGUUGCACAAUUUGUUCAUAUGGCCACCCCUCUAUUCUUGAGUGUUAAAUGUGGCUGGUGCAUUAUUCAUCCAGAUGAAAUACUCGACAAAGUUUUUUUGUCAUCUCCGGUAUCUUUACCAGGUAGUUUAACUGACUUCACACUUUUUUUUAAUUUGAAAGGGGCCUGGCUUUGAAUGGUUUUCUUACCACUGGUGGCGAAACUAAUACGUCAUCCCCACGGGAAAUCGUCAAAGUUUCAGAGUUUUUAUCUGCCACCUGCGUCACUCUACACUGUGCCCUCUUCAUGUGCUGUUUAACUAACUCACCUACUCGGUCUAAUCUCUCUCUCACCUCUGAUACAUAAUCCAAGUGUGAGAUCUCCGACUUUGGUCCUGUCAAUUUAUAUUUAAUUAGUUUCUAAGGACCUCUCACUUCAUGUACGAAUAUUAAAUCAAAGGAAGUAAAGUGAGUUGAUUUAUUUGGGGCAUCUCUAAUUGCAAACAAUUUAAUGGGGCACCUUUAUCCCAACCAUUCGGGUAAUCCUGACAGUACGCUGUUAACAUGGUCCUCAGUGUCUGAUGCUAACUUUCCAAGGCUACCUGGGAUUCAGGAUGGGACGCACUUGAUUUGAAGUGCUGUAUGCCUAAGAUAUCCAUGACUUCCUCAAACAGCUGAGCAAUAAAAUGAGACCCUUGGUCUGACUGAAUCUCUCUGGGCAGUCCACAGCGAGUAAAGAAAGCUACCAAUCCCUCCACCUUCAUUUUUGCCUUAACACUCCAAUAAUGGAAUUGCCUCUGGAAAUCUGGUAGACGCAUCCAUUAUGGUCAGCAAAUAUUGGUUUCCACUUUUACUUUAGAGAGGGGAGCUACACAAUUAAUCAUAACCCACAUGAAGGGUUUCUCGAAUGCAAGAAUUGGCAACAAAGGUGCUGGUUUUAUUACUGCCUGUGACUUACCGACCAUUUGGUCUGUAUGUCACGUACAACAAAAAUGAACCGCGUCCUUGUGCAUUCCAGGCCAUUAGAAAUGCUUCUGUACCUUAGCCUGAGUCUUCUGUACACCUAGGUGACCGCCUGCAGAGAGUUUAUGUGCGACCCGUAACACUGUACAUUACUGCUAACACAAUCUCGUGCACUUCGGACCAUUUCCCUUCUGCAGUAACCUAUCAUGGUCUCCAUUUUAAUUUUAUGAUUCUAUGUUUAAGUUAAUAACGUUCAACAAUAUAUUCUGAUUCCUUUUCUGUGUGUGUGCAUGUAUAUGU